CCACACUAAAUGACCAUACUCUCUAGUUAUAUGCUCAGUGAUUCAUCAUCCAUAAAUCCUGAAACGGUUUUUCUAUGGGCACAUGCUAAGCAAUAAAAUUUAUGAAAUUGGAUGGUUUUGAUUGGAUUACAUUCUUUAAUAAUGGUGCCCCCUCCAUUUACAACAACCACACCAAUCAAAACCAUCCAAAUUUAUGAAUUUUAGUGCUUAGCAUGUGCCUACGGACACACACUAGACAAACCAUCUUGAAAUUACCUCGCUACAGAAUGAUUUUAAGGUUUCAUCACUUUCAUCGCAACUUCAGCUUGUUUAGAGAUCGUUGUUACCCUCUUGACAUACACCUGUU
rnacentral:lncRNA from 1 species